GACGAACGCUGGCGGCGUGCUUAACACAUGCAAGUCGAACGGUGAAGGGACCAGCUUGCUGGUUCUGGAUGAGUGGCGAACGGGUGAGUAACACGUGAGUAACCUGCCCCCUUCUUCUGGAUAACCGCAUGAAAGUGUGGCUAAUACGGGAUAUUCUGGGUCUGUCGCAUGGCGGGCCCGGGAAAGAUAUUGCUUCGGUGGGGGAUGGGCUCGCGGCCUAUCAGCUUGUUGGUGGGGUGAUGGCCUACCAAGGCGGUGACGGGUAGCCGGCCCGAGAGGGUGGACGGUCACACUGGGACUGAGACACGGCCCAGAAUGCUACGGGAGGCAGCAGUGGGGAAUAUUGCACGAUGGGCGCAAGCCUGAUGCAGCGACGCCGCGUGAGAGAGGGAGGCCUUCGGGUUGUAAACCUCUUUCGCCAGUGAAGCAGGCCUGCUCCUUGUGGGUGGGUUGACGGUAGCUGGAGAAGAAGCGCCGGCUAACUACGUG
rnacentral:rRNA from 1 species